rnacentral:misc_RNA from 1 species
AGCAGCAAGAUGCCAAGAACCGGACGCCGGCCCGCAAGUUUCGUGGGAGUGCGGACAAGUGAAGAUUCUGGCGGUUCUGUUCUGCGCAUUCGUCGGGAUCAUUCUCCCGCGCGAGCUAGGUGCGCAGAUCGAGCCGCCCGUCAUGAAUGCGACUGCCGAGCCGCGCAGCGUCGAGGUUGGCGAACUGUUGAGCGUGUCGCUCAGCGUGACGGUGGACUCGAGCGCCCCCUCACCCAGCGAUCCGCGCCUCGCGCUUCCCGAUUCGCUGCGAUCGGGUCCGCCGAACAUCUCGACGCAGACGCAGAUCAGCUUCGUCAACGGGCACCUGACUCGC